GCCAGGUGUGAUGGCAUAUGCCUGUAAUCCCACCUACUUGGGAGGCUGAGGCAGGAAGAUUGCAAGUUCCAGGACAGCCUGGGUAACUUAGUGAGACCCCGUCUUAA
rnacentral:sRNA from 1 species